UGAUGGCUCUUUAACUCGGCACAAGUGUCCUGUAUGCUGUGCAGCAGGUGUCUGGAUUGCAGACUUGUUUUCAGCUUGUAAUGGACAAGGAUAGAUGGUCUGCUGUAUUCAGGGAAUCCUGACCAUAGAAAUUGGAGCAGAUUUUUGCAGGAAAGAAGGUCAUUGAAGAGUGUUUCUACAGCUUUCUCCUGGGUGUCACACCUUGGAGGAUAAUUAACUAGUUAAAUCUGAGCAGAACACAACCCCUUUGAAAAUUCCCUAAGUUUUCAUUCUCCUUCAUCCUGUGACUUCUGUAAAAGUGUUUCAACUUUUUGCCUGUUGUAGGUGAGGAAGUGCCUAAAAAUGUACACAAGGUGAUAAGUGGCAUGCUCAGUGGAGGUAGAGUUAACCUGGGAAAGGCUCAGCCUUUACAGUGGCCCUUCCUCCCCCCAGAUUAUGAAGUUCUUAAAAAGAGCUAGUCAGGUUUCUUUGCAGGCUUUGGUGUAUCUGAUGAAAGGGGAGUCUCUGUAUAGCAGCUUUUGUGUUCCUAAGCUCUAGAAAUCUUGGAACCAUUUGCUCUUUCUACACUGAGCUGACUACAGCUUCAGGGCAGAAGAGAAGAAAGGAAAUUUUGCAAGGUCUCUGAACCGUGGAGCAGACAGCCCCUCUGACUUUGGAUCUGAAUCAGACAUAGCAGUUCAUCAUCUGAACAGAGACAGGAUCAAUGCUGAAGUGUAACUGUGAGAAAUAAGAAGCCUGUGUGUUCAUCCUCACAGAUCCAGCUGGAAGGACGAUAUCUUCAGGGAUAUUUCUAUCUCCCUGCAAUAAUUCAAAUGACUAUUGGAACAACGAGUGAUACAAACAAGACUACUUCCAAAUUUUCCAGCUCUAAUCCCGUCUCACGGUGGAAGCCAAAGUCUGUGGAGCAAAUCAGAAGAGCAAAUCUGAUCUAAUUUGAGUAUAUUGUGUAAGCAAGACUGUGUAAGCAAGUUACGUUUUGUGAAAAACUUUGUCUUAGUUAAGGGGGAAGAGCCCAAGGAAGCAGGUUCUGCUGAACUUCAGUUCCACAGCUCCAUGCCUCUGUUUGCACAUCAGUGAAUGUGUGUUUGUCUACAAAAUCCUCAUUAAGUUCUGCCCCCUUCACUGGAAACUGCAAAGUUCUUCAUUUCAGUAUGCGGCCACUUUUGACCAGUACAAGAGCACAUUAAAAACACAGCAUUUCUGAGGAAUCCCAUCUGAAUCUUUGCUGCAUUAGUACGAACAUUCAGAGAAGAGAUUCUUCUGGUGUUCUGUGGUUGGAAUCAGCUUCAGGCAUGGUUUAGGUGUAUAAUAGUUUAUGAGUGUUUCCUGAAAUGGUGAGGUGAAAUAAAAAUUAAAAAAAUAAUAAUAAUGAAUGAAAAGGACUCAAUUUUGAAUGUUAACACUGUAUGAAGUAACACUAGAAGCUGUGUUUUGUGUUAUGUGUAAGACUGUUCUGUCAGAGAUCUCUAGGCUGAGCCAUGGUUGGUAAAAUAUAGGAAGCCUGCUUUGAAUAACAGAUCACAGAACAAACCAUGCUUGCCUUUCUCCUUGUCUAUGCUGGAAAAGACUUAGGAUUUAAAGUCUCAAUCAAUCAUUGAUUUGUUUGGAAGUGAAGGAAGCUGAAAUUAGUCUAGGCUCCUACGUAUCUUUGCAAAAAUUGGUUAAGCCCUAUUUUUUUAAGAAGAAUUUAGAAUCAAAGAAUCAUUAGGGUUAGAAAAGGCCUCCAAGAUCACCAAGUGCAAUCAUCAGCCCAUCCCCACCAUGCCCACUGA